GCCUUCUCCAAAAAAAAGCACACGAGCGCUCCUCCUCCAGCCGCCAGCCGUGGUCCAUGGCCUUCUCCUGCGUACCCCGUGUAGCCUCGUGUGCAGCGACCUAGGGAUGAAAACCCUAGCCAUCGUAGGUGCCAUCCUCUCCUCUCUUCCCUCGCCGUCGUUACCGCCCACCUCGUCGAGGUUGCGGCGCCCCCUUCGAUUUCGAAGGUGGCAGUGAGAUCUUUACCGGCGGGGCCGGUUAUGUGGCUGUGGACGUCGCAAGCACCCGGGCGGUGGCUAGCGACCUGAAUUGUGGUCGGUGGUGUCUCGCGACAUGGAGGGAGGCAACUGUGUGCACAAGCUCAACCCCUAGCCUCACUACUGCCAUGGAUUUUGGCAUGGGUUGUCGCAUCCGCCAUGGAUAUAAUUUCCCGUAGGCUGCAUCAGCUAUUGUUGGACUAUGACACCAGUUUGGAACCUUCAUUAAGAGAAGAGGUACGUGGGCAACUCCUAGGUUAACAGGUUCUGAGAACAAGAUACAUGAGCUUGGCAAGCUUCUGAACAACUUAAAAGAAACUUCUUCCUCAGUGGUACACCGUAGCUACAUCAUGCUUAAGAAGGUGAAAGAAGAAAUGAUAGGCUGGUACUAAGGAUUUAAAUGAAUCACCAAAGUUGGUCUUCUUACAGAUUAUAUAUAUCUUGUUCAUACGGUUGCAAUAUAAACAAAUGGUUGAUCUGCAUUUUGAUAUAAUUUUCCGGUGCUUUUGUGGGAA